AAAUUUGAAAUCUGGCCCCUAGGGUCCGAGUUGUAAUUUGUAGAGGAUGCUUUUGGUGAGGUGCCGCCCGAGUUCCCUGGAACGGGACGCCACAGAGGGUGAGAGCCCCGUCUGGCUGGCCACCGAGCCUCUGUAAAGCUCCUUCGACGAGUCGAGUAGUUUGGGAAUGCUGCUCAAAAUGGGAGGUAUAUGUCUUCUAAAGCUAAAUAUUGGCCAGAGACCGAUAGCGCACAAGUAGAGUGAUCGAAAGAUGAAAAGCACCUUGAAAAGAGGGUUAAAUAGUACGUGAAAUUGUUGAAAGGGAAGCGCUUGUGACCAGACUUGGGCGCGGCGGAUCAUCCGGGGUUCUCUCCGGUGCACUUCGCCGCGUCUAGGCCAGCAUCAGUUCGUCGCGGGGGAAAAAGGCUUCGGGAACGUGGCUCCUCCGGGAGUGUUAUAGCCCGUUGCAUAAUACCCUGCUUUGGACUGAGGACCGCGCAUCUGCAAGGAUGCUGGCGUAAUGGUCACCAGCGACC
rnacentral:rRNA from 1 species